rnacentral:tRNA from 1 species
AAGGGUAUAGAUCAGUGGUAGAUCGUGUGCUUAACAUGCACAAGGUCCUGGGUUCAAUCCCCAGUACCUCCA